AAUAACCAAGUACCAAUCACGUUUACCAACUGUGAGUGUUGUUAUUAUUUUCCACAAUGAAGGUUGGUCAACUCUACUUCGUACAGUUCAUUCUGUACUUAAUCGUUCCCCAUCUAAGCUGUUACAUGAAAUUAUUCUAUGUGAUGACUACAGUCAAAAAGAGCAUUUAAAGAAGCAAUUAGAGGAUUAUAUUAUUCCAUAUCCAAAAAUUAAGCUUGUGCGCACCAGUGAACGUGAAGGUUUAAUUCGUGCUCGUGUACAUGGUGCUAAUCAUGCAAAUGGUGACAUCAUUAUUUUUCUUGAUUCACAUUGUGAAGCAAAUGUAGGCUGGUUACCUCCACUUGUUUCUG
rnacentral:lncRNA from 1 species